rnacentral:lncRNA from 1 species
AUGGUCAGAUUGGUCCGACUGAAAAGAUGCUUCUGGAGCAGAUAUGUAAAGAGGUCUGGGAGCAUCCUGGGAAGACAGAUUUCACCAUUAACAGUCAGUAAAAGUCUUGCUACUUUAGUCUGUCUUAUUUUCCUUGCCCCGAGGGACUUCUCCUUACUUGGAAACUGCCCUGGAGUCCAACCUGUAUAUGGUGAUGAAUGGUUCCUCUACAAUAAUGUUCUCUACUAUUUAUAUACAGUUGAAUAUAUUUAUGUGUAUUUCAGUAUUCUUAUUUUCUAUAUUCUACAUCAUUUCCAGCUAUAUUCUAUGUUCCAGAUACAAUUUAUAUCUGUUCUAGUAUAUUCAAUAUACUUAAUAUCCAGCUGACUGUUCCUUUUUAUAAGUAUUGCAUCAGCAAGAGGAGGUUCCUUUGUAUGUGUAUUACAAACUUCUUGAUUCCAGUAGACAGGAUAGAUAAGUAUUCUGAGAACAUGUACUAUUUCUUUAAAGAUUUAUUUAUUUAUUUGAAAGUCAGAAUUAGAGAGAGAGGGGGAGAGAGAGAGAGAUCUUCCAUCUGAUGGUUCACUCCUCAGUUGGCCACAAUGGCCGGAGCUUGCUGAUCUGAAGCCAGGAACCAGGAGCUUCUUCCGGGUCUCCCACGCAGGAACAGGGGCCCAAGGACUUGGGCCAUCUUCUACUGCUUUCCCAGGCCAUAGCAGAGAGGUGGAUCGGAAGUGGAGCAGCCGGGUUUCCAACCGGCGCCCAUAAGAGAUGACAGCACUUCAGGCCAGGGCGUUAAUCUGCUGCGCCACAGGGAUGGCCCCUAUUAACAUUUUUUAAAGAUUUAUUUUAUUUAUUUGAAAGGAAGAGUUACUGAGAGAGAGAGAGAGAGAAAAUGAGAGAGGGAGAGACAGAGAUCUUCCAUCUGCUGGUUAGCUUCCCAAAUGGCUGCAACUGCUGGGGCUGGGCUAGGCUAAAGCCAGGAGCCUAGAACUUGUUCCGAGUCUCCCACAUGAGUUCAGGGACUCAAGCAUUCUGGGCAUCUUCUGCUGCUUUCCCAGGUACAUUAGCCAGGAACAGGAUCAGAAAUGGAGCAGCCAGGACGUAAACCGGGGCCCAUAUGGGAUGCUGAUGCUACGGGCAGAGACUUCACCCAUAUGCCACAUCCCUGGAUUUUAUCAUGUAGUUUUAAAAUUUAUUUUUAUUUAUUUGAAAGGGAGGGAGAGAGAGCGAGAGAGAUCAUCUGUCUGCUGGCUAGCUUCCUAAAUAUUCCCAAUAACUGGGUUGGCCCAGGCCAAAGUCUAGAGCCAGGAACUCAGUCAGGGUCUCCCAUAUGAGUUGCAGGGACCCAAGUACUUGAGCCAUCAUCUGCUGCCUUCCAAGGUGCAUGGAAGCAGGAAGGUAGAAUUGGAAGCAGAACUGGACUUGAACCCAGAACCUCCGGUAUGAUGCGAAUGUCCCAAUUAGAGUAUAAAUCACUGUGCCCAACACCUACCCUACUUCACGUAUUUUACAAGCUAUUUCAUUACUGAUUAUCAUGUCAUGUAUAUAGUUUAUGUUCUAUGUUUUUCAGUACAUGAAUGUCUUUAUUAAAAAUAAAAUCCAGAAUAAUAACUAGGAAAACA